GCCUUCGUGGUGUAACUGGAAAGGACAUCAGACUAGAAAUCGGAAAGUCCAGAGUUAGAAUCCCAGCGAAGGCA
rnacentral:tRNA from 1 species